UACGUAGGUGGCAAGCGUUGUCCGGAUUUAUUGGGUUUAAAGGGUGCGUAGGCGGCCCCGUAAGUCAGUGCUGAAAUAUCCCGGCUUAACCGGGAGGGUGGCAUUGAUACUGCGAGGCUUGAGUAAAGUUGAGGUAGGCGGAAUUGACGGUGUAGCGGUGAAAUGCGUAGAUAUCGAGAGGAACACCUGCGGCGAAGGCGGGUUGCUGGGCCGACACUGACGCUGAUGCGCGAAAGCCAGGGGAGCGAACGGG
rnacentral:rRNA from 1 species